GUGGGGAAUCUUAGACAAUGGGGGCAACCCUGAUCUAGCCAUGCCGCGUGAGUGAUGAAGGCCUUAGGGUUGUAAAGCUCUUUCAGUGGGGAAGAUAAUGACGGUACCCACAGAAGAAGCCCCGGCUAACUCCGUGCCAGCAGCCGCGGUAAUACGGAGGGGGCUAGCGUUGUUCGGAAUUACUGGGCGUAAAGCGCACGUAGGCGGAUCGGAAAGUUGGGGGUGAAAUCCCAGGGCUCAACCCUGGAACUGCCUUCAAAACUAUCGGUCUGGAGUCCGAGAGAGGUGAGUGGCAUUCCGAGUGUAGAGGUGAAAUUCGUAGAUAUUCGGAGGAACACCAGUGGCGAAGGCGGCUCACUGGCUCGGUACUGACGCUGAGGUGCGAAAGCGUGGAGAGCAAACAGGAUUAGAAACCCGGGUAGUCC
rnacentral:rRNA from 1 species